CGCCGCCCCGCCGCCCCACCGCAGUCGUAUUCUGACAGAGACAGUCUGGAGGCAGAAGCUCAAGGCGAGCAUGCAGCGGCCUGAGAUGGGGCUCCCCCUUUUUGCACUCUGAGGGGGCGGGGGGCGCCCCGUCUCAGACGUGGGUCCCCACACGAGGCCGACUUUCCGGCAGUAAAACUCGUUCUCGGCUCCGUCCAGGCCUUUCCUCAAAACCCCACGCCGUGUCCGCCCAAUGCAGCUCACCCAGCAGGAUGGGGACGGGGGGGAAGGGGGCCCCGAAGUCACAGAAGACGCAAAGGAACCUUCCGAGCCCGCCACUAAGUGGAAGGCGCCAGGGGGGGCGAGGCGAGGCUGCCCGCGAUGUGAUUCCGGCCGUAGGACCUUCCGGAAAAGUCACAGCCGUGGGGACGUGGAAAGGGCAGUGGCCUCCGGGGUCUGGCUCGGGGGUAGUGUGGGGCGGGGGGCGAGCAGAGGAGGUGCUCGGUGGGACACUGCGGUGGUGGGCACAGCCAUUACCCGUUUGUCCGAGCCCGCAGGACACGCAGCGCUGAGAGUGGGCCCCCCGUCAGCCGUGGACUCCGGGUGGCGAUGGUGAUGAUGAGUCAGGACGGGUGCACCGAUCGUAACAGACGGAGCGCUCUGGCGACAGCAGGAGAGGCUGUGCGCUGAGCGGGGGGAGGCGGGGGGGGGAGGGGCUCACCGGAAACUGCCCCGCCAGGAGCCGAGAAGGUAGACAACCUCCGGAUUGGGCAUCUCCCCGGGUGAAGGUAACGCCGGCCGCCCAGCUCGACCUUGAACAAGGGGCCGCCGGCAGCUGACCGCUCCCUGGCUAACACUGUCCGGCCUCCCCACGCGCACAUGCGCUCUUCCCAAGGUGCCGCUGGGCGGGGGGGCACACACUCAGACGCCAGUCCUUGGGUUCCCGGCGCUGGGGUCUCUGGGCCAGCUCCAAGGAGACCCUUCUUAAAGACUGACUGCAAGUGCAACGCUUUGUCAGUGGUGCUCUGCAAGGCCAAAGGUCCCCUCAGGUUGGGUGAGUGAAAGGGCUCUGCUUCUUCGCCCUCUUGGCCCGAGUUCUCACACGCGCUGUGUGCGUGGGCAGGUAUUGGCUGCCCCGGGAGAAUCCGAGGGGCGCUCGCUUCAGAGACCUGCCCUCGAAUGUGGGCCAGGGUGGCCUGGAGAUGCGCUGGUGACCUGUGUAACACUCUGGGGGGGACACAGGGAGGCACAGGCCCGUCCCCAGCUCCACAGCUCAGGGCCUGGAUACGGCUGACAUUUACCUCUGAGACCCCCUCUCUCCCGGCUGAUCCCCCCACUACGUGUUGGCAGAAGCUUCCAUGGCUGGAACGCUCCUCAAAGGGCUAGUCCAGAGUAUGUGGGCUGGGAAAACCUCGGAGCAGUCUGAAUGCCGACGUCCAGGGUUCUUGUGUUUAAAGGUGCUGAGGGCUUCUCAGGAAACGACCCCCGGAGAGCGGCAGGAACUGUCCUCUGUCCUCAGAAAGACACGGGAAGCUGGUCUGGGGUCGUUGGCCCCCUCACAGUCACAGGGAAACCCAUCUAUCUGUAUAGAGAACCCGGAGCCUGGCCAGGAUGUCUGGUCAGAGCCACAGACUGGCCCCACAGCCCAUGAGCAGGGGCGGGGCCUCUCACGCCUGCCUGACCCCGCUGCGCACACGAAACAUCGGGGGUGGCGUGAACUAGGUGCAGAGUCCCAGAGGGAGGCUGCGCUGAGCCCCCUUGGGCAGCUGGUGUCCCCGAGCUCCACUGUGGGGGUGAAGUGACAUUGCGGGCCCGGCGUGUCCCGCCAGCCACCGCACAACUCGGGUCAGGGGGCUGGCACAUCUCGAAGACCCGAACUCACCCAGACCCGUCACCAGUGCCAGGGGCCACCCCGCCCCCACCUCCCCGCCUGCCACUCGGAUGUCCCCGUUUCCCGCCCGGGCUGACGCCGCCUGAGUCACUCGGCACACAGGACGCGGUGCAUCAGCCGCGCUGAAGUCCCCUCGUCACCACAGGCCGGUUUCACAACCCUGCUUCUGGGAAGAGAAUGGAAUUCAGUUCUAUUGUCUUCGCCUCCCCCCUUUAAAAAAAAAUAAAGUGCCCCCCC